rnacentral:tRNA from 1 species
CAGUAGUUAGUCUAAUAAAGACCCUUAAUUUCGACUUAAGAAACCCUGAAUUCACCCAGGACUACUAA